ACCACUGUUUAUACCACCCUGAACAUGCCCCAUCUCAUCUGAUCUCAGAAACUAUGCAGGAUUGGGCCUAGUUAAUACUUGGAUGGGAGACCACUGUCUUUAUAUCAUUGUUA
rnacentral:rRNA from 1 species